AGUGAACGCUGGCGGUAGGCCUAACACAUGCAAGUCGAACGGCAGCACAGUAAGAGCUUGCUCUUACGGGUGGCGAGUGGCGGACGGGUGAGGAAUACAUCGGAAUCUACUUUUUCGUGGGGGAUAACGUAGGGAAACUUACGCUAAUACCGCAUACGACCUACGGGUGAAAGCAGGGGAUCUUCGGACCUUGCGCGAUUGAAUGAGCCGAUGUCGGAUUAGCUAGUUGGCGGGGUAAAGGCCCACCAAGGCGACGAUCCGUAGCUGGUCUGAGAGGAUGAUCAGCCACACGGGAACUGAGACACGGUCCAGACUCCUACGGGAGGCAGCAGUGGGGAAUAUUGGACAAUGGGCGCAAGCCUGAUCCAGCCAUACCGCGUGGGUGAAGAAGGCCUUCGGGUUGUAAAGCCCUUUUGUUGGGAAAGAAAAGCAGCAGGUUAAUACCCCGCUGUUAUGACGGUACCCAAAGAAUAAGCACCGGCUAACUUCGUG
rnacentral:rRNA from 1 species